UCUAUUUGUGUGUUCAGUUGAAAAUCCUUUGGCAAUCUCCAUAACUUCUUUAGCUAUAUGAGUUAACCUUUGCUUUUGUCAAUUCUCUGUUUACUCCUAUAUUUUCCAGCUUUUAAGAAGUAUCUUUUCCUGCUGAUUAAUGUUUGUUGGACAGUUGUUUGUUUUUUUAAUUCUUGCAGUUCUUGUUAUUUCUGUUAUUAGUUCUUCUCCCUUCUAAGGUCUUCUCAGUAACCACUUUUCAUCCUAAGAGGUCUGGAGCCAUUUCUUACUGGGUUAUUUUUCCUUCACUGGGGAAACAGGGUUCAAAUCAACUUUUCAACACUGACAGGAUUAAAUUUAGAUUUCUGCUCAGGGCCAUCUCCAGCAUCCAUCUCCCCUUCUACUCUGGCUACGAAGAGACACACUGUCUUACAAAAACAAGUGAAUCCCUUACACUACAGCAAUGAUGGCCCAUCUGCUGGGAGAAAUAUGCUGAUAUAAACAGAAUUACCUACAAAGGAAACUGGAACCUCCACGGCAUCUCUCUGUCAUCCUUCUCUCCAGAUGGUGCCUCUAAAUCCCUUCUGA
rnacentral:lncRNA from 1 species